rnacentral:lncRNA from 1 species
AGUGGGUCCGAAAUGUCAGGUUCUGUUUUGCGGGUCCCUCAUGUGAAGGUCACGUUCUUCAGAUUUCAAUAUGCCAGUGAAUAAAUAACAAAUAUUUAAAUUCAAACAGACAGAAAACACAUGUAAUACUUCAAAUAAUAACAGCCAGAAUCAGUAUGGAGCUCUUGCUCUACCAAUAACACGUAAUACAAUUGGAAUCACAAUAUUACAAGCUCUACAAGUGUGAUAGCUGGCUACAGUAAUUUACAACUCCACAAUUGUCUUCAAUCUUCUUCAGAAUGGAGCUCCUGUCAAUAGCGAUCACAAACUGGGCACAUGCUCCUGUCAUAUGAACCAUAUGCCAUACUCACUAGAUGACCAUAGUCAGGAUUAGGCUAUGACCUUCAUUACAAACAACAAUAUGAACUUCCAUCCCUUCCACGGUCACCCUGUCAAGGAUUGGUGCUGACUCACAUUAAAAAAGAUAUAAAAAAGAUUCCAUACGGACUAGCAUUCUAGAAACUAACUAGUCAAGGAUCACAUAUAUUGUUGUAAAGGCAUUCCAUACUAUUAAGAUGGACCAAAUUCAUGCAGAUACAACAUGUCUCACUAGUUCAAAGCGGAGCCACAGGAAGCUUACCAUUGCGCAAUGGAUUUAUCAACAAAAGGGACAGGUAGAUGGCGAGACCAACACAUAUUAUCCAUCCCUGGGUCCUCCAGCUUCCAACGUGUUGCCUCCUCCUUGCCCUUACUUCAAGAAAAAUAACUUCCUUCAAGAAAAACAACACAUGGCCAGCGCUGCCCUAAUAUGGCAAUCAAGAGUGCUCUAACUUUUGACAUGGUUAGCUUCUAUUUUUCUGGACAUUUGGAUCAACAUACAUCCAAAACUAGCUAAAUAUGUGCACAAGCUUGACUCGUGUGACCAACAAUUUAUUGAUGAAAAUCAUUAAUCAGGAACUAAAUAUAACAUUUCGACAAUCAACAAAUGUUUGGUAAAAUGACAACUUAAGAAGAAAAUAGGCACUCAAGCUAGUUCAGUUUCAGAAAUGUACCCCAUUCAUGAGACCAGCAGCAAAGAACGCAACCCAACCAACGAAGCACUUGAGAUAGCCUCGGUUCACCACGGGCUGGAGAACUUGGCUGGCAACACCAACAGUAAUCUUCGCUCCAUUCGUGCUUGCACAGGUACGCCUGGCCAAGGGAGUAGUCCAGCGCUCGUUCCACGGGGACUGCCACCGCACUGCCGGACUCGCAUAUACCUGCCAACAUCACGAUACUGUAAGAUAAUUAUAAUCAGGAAAAAUCAAAUUGAUUCAAGCAUAUUACUUGCUG